AGUCGAGCGAGGUUACUGUUUUGGAUCCCUUCGGGGUGAAGAAGCUUUAACCUAGCGGCGGACGGGUGAGUAACGCGUGGGUAACCUACCCCAAAGUCCGGGAUAACAGCGGGAAACCGCUGCUAAUACCGGAUGUCUUUACCUUGGGGCAUCUUGAGGUAAAGAAAGGUAACGCUUUGGGAUGGGCCCGCGUCCCAUUAGCUAGUUGGUGAGGUAACGGCUCACCAAGGCGACGAUGGGUAGCCGGCCUGAGAGGGUGGACGGCCACACUGGGACUGAGACACGGCCCAGACUCCUACGGGAGGCAGCAGUAGGGAAUAUUGCGCAAUGGACGGAAGUCUGACGCAGCGACGCCGCGUGAGCGAUGAAGGUCUUCGGAUCGUAAAGCUCUGUCCUUGGGGAAGAAGGUCUUCGGACUUGACGGUACCCAAGAAGAAAGCCCCGGCUAACUACGUGCCAGCAGCCGCGGUAAUACGUAGGGGGCGAGCGUUGUCCGGAAUUACUGGGCGUAAAGGGUGCGUAGGCGGCCCUUUAAGUCGGAUGUGAAAGCCCGCGGCUUAACCGCGGAAUGGCAUUCGAAACUGGAGGGCUUGAGUGUCGGAGAGGGUAGUGGAAUUCCCAGUGUAGCGGUGA
rnacentral:rRNA from 1 species